AACGAACGCUGGCGGCAUGCCUAACACAUGCAAGUCGAACGAGACCUUCGGGUCUAGUGGCGCACGGGUGCGUAACGCGUGGGAACCUGCCCUUAGGUUCGGAAUAACUCCCCGAAAGGGGUGCUAAUACCGGAUAAUGUCUUCGGACCAAAGAUUUAUCGCCUUUGGAUGGGCCCGCGUUGGAUUAGCUAGUUGGUAGGGUAAAAGCCUACCAAGGCGACGAUCCAUAGCUGGUCUGAGGGGAUGAUCAGCCACACUGGGACUGAGACACGGCCCAGACUCCUACGGGAGGCAGCAGUGGGGAAUAUUGGACAAUGGGCGAAAGCCUGACCCAGCAAUGCCGCGUGAGUGAUGAAGGCCUUAGGGUUGUAAAGCUCUUUUACCCGGGAUGAUAAUGACAGUACCGGGAGAAUAAGCUCCGGCUAACUCCGUG
rnacentral:rRNA from 1 species